rnacentral:rRNA from 1 species
CCGGCACGGGUGAGUAACACGUAUCCAACCUGCCGUCUACUCUUGGCCAGCCUUCUGAAAGGAAGAUAAUCCAGGAUGGCAUCAUGAGUUCACAUGUCCGCAUGAUUAAAGGUAUUUUCCGGUAGACGAUGGGGAUGCGUUCCAUUAGAUAGUAGGCGGGGUAACGGCCCACCUAGUCAACGAUGGAUAGGGGUUCUGAGAGGAAGGUCCCCCACAUUGGAACUGAGACACGGUCCAA